rnacentral:rRNA from 1 species
AUUGAGCGCUGGCGGCAGGCCUAACACAUGCAAGUCGAGCGGAUGAAGGGAGCUUGCUCCUGGAUUCAGCGGCGGACGGGUGAGUAAUGCCUAGGAAUCUGCCUGGUAGUGGGGGAUAACGUCCGGAAACGGGCGCUAAUACCGCAUACGUCCUGAGGGAGAAAGUGGGGGAUCUUCGGACCUCACGCUAUCAGAUGAGCCUAGGUCGGAUUAGCUAGUUGGUGGGGUAAAGGCCUACCAAGGCGACGAUCCGUAACUGGUCUGAGAGGAUGAUCAGUCACACUGGAACUGAGACACGGUCCAGACUCCUACGGGAGGCAGCAGUGGGGAAUAUUGGACAAUGGGCGAAAGCCUGAUCCAGCCAUGCCGCGUGUGUGAAGAAGGUCUUCGGAUUGUAAAGCACUUUAAGUUGGGAGGAAGGGCAGUAAGUUAAUACCUUGCUGUUUUGACGUUACCAACAGAAUAAGCACCGGCUAACCUCGUG